rnacentral:rRNA from 1 species
UAAGGAAUAUUGGUCAAUGGGCGCAAGCCUGAACCAGCCAUGCCGCGUGCAGGAAGACGGCCCUACGGGUUGUAAACUGCUUUUAUACGGGAAUAAACCUCGCUACGUGUAGCGAGUUGAACGUACCGUAAGAAUAAGGAUCGGCUAACUCCGUGCCAGCAGCCGCGGUAAUACGGAGGAUCCAAGCGUUAUCCGGAUUUAUUGGGUUUAAAGGGUGCGUAGGCGGCCUGUUAAGUCAGAGGUGAAAGACGGUAGCUCAACUAUCGCAGUGCCUUUGAUACUGACGGGCUUGAAUACACUAGAGGUAGGCGGAAUGAGACAAGUAGCGGUGAAAUGCAUAGAUAUGUCUCAGAACACCAAUUGCGAAGGCAGCUUACUAUGGUGUCAUUGACGCUGAGGCACGAAAGCGUGGGGAUCAAACAGG